rnacentral:rRNA from 1 species
UACGUAGGGUGCAGGCGUUAAUCGGAAUUACUGGGCGUAAAGCGUGCGCAGGCGGAUUCUUAAGUCAGAUGUGAAAGCCCCGGGCUUAACCUGGGAAUUGCGUUUGAAACUGGGAGACUGGAGUGUUGCAGAGGGGGGUGGAAUUCCACGUGUAGAAGUGAAAUGCGUAGAUAUGUGGAGGAACACCGAUGGCGAAGGCAGCCCACUGGGUCAACACUGACGCUGAGGCACGAAAGCGUGGGGAGCAAACAGG